rnacentral:rRNA from 1 species
CGCGUAGGCGGCCGGGUAAGUGAGAUGUGAAAGCUCUGGGCUCAACCCAGGAAUUGCAUUUCAUACUGCUCGGCUAGAGAUUGGUAGAGGAUGGCGGAAUUCCAGGUGUAGCGGUGAAAUGCGUAGAUAUCUGGAGGAACACCUGUGGCGAAGGCGGCUAUCUGGUCCAAUUCUGACGCUGAGGCGCGAAAGCUAGGGGAGCAAACAGGAUUAGAUACCCUGGUAGUCCUAGCUGUAAACGAUGAGUACUAGGUGUUGGAGGUAUUGACCCCUUCAGUGCCGUAGCUAACGCAAUAAGUACUCCGCCUGGGAACUACGGUCGCAAGACUGAA